rnacentral:ncRNA from 1 species
UUUUUUUAAAGGCAAACUUCCCGAAAGGGCAGGACGCAAAGCGAUGGGCCUAAGAAUGUGAGACUAUCCAUUCAUGGUCGCCAGGCUGCCAAU